UACGUAGGGUGCAAGCGUUGUCCGGAAUUAUUGGGCGUAAAGAGCUUGUAGGCAGUCUGUCGCGUCUGCUGUGAAAAUCCGGGGCUCAACCCCGGACUUGCAGUGGGUACGGGCAGACUAGAGUGUGGUAGGGGAGACUGGAAUUCCUGGUGUAGCGGUGAAAUGCGCAGAUAUCAGGAGGAACACCGAUUGCGAAGGCAGCUCGCUGGGACGUUACUGACGCUGAGACGCGAAAGCGUGGGGAGCAAACAGG
rnacentral:rRNA from 1 species